rnacentral:lncRNA from 1 species
AGGAAUCCUAAAAUGGUCUUAAUAUUUUUGAAGACAAAAUGAUAGCUUGUCCGCUCGACAGGUAGAAACAUAAAAAGCGAAUAACAGUGAUUUUUCAACUGGACCGCAUCAGUUUUAUAUUUGUCUUGAAAAUGGUACCAGAUAUAUCUGUUUGCUUUGACGGUACUGUCAUAAAAAACAGCUGUUGCUGAAUAGUUCCCCCUCUGCCAGUAAUACUAUUUUAACGUGCGCCGGAAGACAUUCUGCGAUACGUAUUUAAGAGCCAUUGAGUGAUCAAUGCGGCAGUACUGUUGUUUCUGCUGUACUAGAAAGAACCAUGAACAAGCUACUGACCAUCUUCCUUGUCAUUUCGAUGUUAGCAGUGGUAGCAAUGGCUAGCAGGAAGAAAUGUGGUGGAAAAAAUCCUAAGUUGCUAGAUUGUCGCAGGAUGGAUAACUAUUGGCGGUGGGACGGUUAUAGCUGUCAAAGGUUGCCUGGCGGUUGCUACGAGAAACUCACAAAGGAACAUAAUGCUUUCGAAACCUUAGAUAAGUGCCGAAACAAGUGCGGCGCUUAUGGAAAAUAAUCAGGAAACCAAGGACUUUCGAAAUCUGGGCAACACAAUGACAAAUCUCUCCCUUUAUCAAAAUGCAGUGAUUGGACUUUUUUUAGUGUUCUUACAAUAUUAACAUGAAAUGUAAUAUUUCACUUACAGUCGAUCUAAAUAUGAUAAUUACAUUUAAUGCUUUUACGUAAGCCAUUAACAAAGCUAUGUUUAAUUAAAAUAAACUAUAAUUAUA